rnacentral:rRNA from 1 species
AUUGAACGCUGGCGGAAUGCUUUACACAUGCAAGUCGAACGGCAGCACGGACUUCGGUCUGGUGGCGAGUGGCGAACGGGUGAGUAAUGUAUCGGAACGUGCCCAGUCGUGGGGGAUAACGUAGUGAAAAUUACGCUAAUACCGCAUACGAUCUAUGGAUGAAAGCGGGGGAUCGCAAGACCUCGCGCGAUUGGAGCGGCCGAUAUCAAAUUAGGUAGUUGGUGGGGUAAAGGCCCACCAAGCCAACGAUCUGUAGCUGGUCUGAGAGGACGACCAGCCCAACUGGAACUGGGACACGGUCCAGACUCCUACGGGAGGCAGCAGUGGGGAAUUUUGGACAAUGGGCGAAAGCCUGAUCCAGCCAUUCCGCGUGCAGGAUGAAGGCCCUCGGGUUGUAAACUGCUUUUGUACAGAACGAAAAGGUUUCUACUAAUACUAGGAGCUCAUGACGGUACUGUAAGAAUAAGCACCGGCUAACUACGUGCCAGCAGCCGCCGUAA